GGGCUCGCUUUGGCAGCACAUAUGCUAACAUUGGAACAAUACAGAGACGCUUCACGCAGCCUCUGAGCAAGGAUGACACUCAGGUUUGUGAAGAAAAGGCAGAGCAU
rnacentral:snRNA from 1 species